UGUCACUAGGGAUCACCACAAAACAAGGAUACAGGCACGUUAUAACCGCUAUAUUUCUGUGCCUUUGAAGUGUGCUUUGGAUUGUUGCAGCAAACAAUGUCAAAAUUUUACAGAGCUUGUUUCCCACCUGAAUUCUCAUAUGAAUGAGGGUCUUGAAAUACCAUGUCCCUAUGAUGGCUGUUCAAAAUAUUUCAAAUUAAGAACAUCCUUUUCCUCCCAUAUUUCUAGAUACCACAAAAACUGGGACCUAACCCAUUUAAAAUCUGUCCACUUACAUGUGUGUGACCUGACCCUAAUUCCAGAUGGGCCUACUGGAUUAGACAGUUCAUCAGCACAGGAAGAGGACCAUCAAAUAGCGUACAGUUUUCCCCAACAACAGCAGCACAGAGAGCAUGUGGAACCGCAGAACCAUCAGCCAGCAAUGUUGGCCCUACGUCAUCACAAUCACCAAGAACCACUGGGAAUUUUCAAAUUCCAUGGGACAAAUUUCCUCCAGAACUUACAAAAGCCAUCUCGGAGAAAACUCGCCCACGUCCAGCAUGAAGAUGAGAAAUGGUUUGUAUUGUUUUUAAUGAGUUGCUUACCACAGACAAAAACAGACCAGACGAGACAUUCUUUGAAAAAUUGCCCAAGAAAUUGUUCCAAAAUACCCAAAGACUUUUUUUUCUGAUGUAUGUGGGGAUGACAUUGUUGGCACAGGAUAUGACUCUUUAAUGCUUCAAAUGGAGAACAGAGUGGAAAACUGUAACAGGCAGAUAACUGUCAAAUCAAAGAGGCAAGCAGAGGGUGAUGCCAUUCCCAAAAAACCCAAGCUGUAUGAUCGAUAUGGCUGUGUACAGUGGCAACCAGAUCUCCCGGCCAAUGAAGAUGAGACGAGUCAGAAUGACAAGAAGACAGAGCUGCAAAAUGCAUAUGCAGGUAGCCUACUCCCAGAGACGUGUGUCGAGAAGCUAAUGGCUGAAACCUUUCACAGCCAACGCAUCUCAAUUAACAGUGACA